CUUCCUGGGAGAGUCAAAAGCUCCCAUCCAUCGUCAUUCCUAUGGUCCCUUUUUCUGCACCAGGGACUUUACACAUGCUGUUCUCCCGGGAAUCACGUGGCUCACCCCUUCCUUCUCACCUUCCCCCCCACCUGGCAAGCCACCAGGCCCAGCACCGCGCCAGGCAUGCCGAGCCAUUUGGGGUGACUGUUUGACUUCGGGCUACUGUGGAGGUGGAGAACCCAGGAUUUGGAGUGCAACAGCCCCAACUCCACCACCAGCAGUGUGGACUCACCACCUAGAUGCCCAGCCGGACCACAUUACGCAGCAG